GUCCAUUCAAAUCCAAAAUACAUGAAAAUCUCGUUAGCUCACAAAUUAAUUUGAAUAAACCCCCAAAAUUGGCCAGAAGCACUCUGCCCCAAAUCAAACCGUCUCCCCUUCAUCUUGCACUCAUCUCUCACGAUCCGCACCUCUAAGGUCCAACUAAAGAAAUCUCGCCGGCACAUCUAGCUCCGACGAAGAAAAGACAGUCGCCUGAGAUAUAGCUCUCUCCAGCAUGCAAGUUAAUCUGUUCAGAUUGUGUGGAAUGGCCAGGAGGAAAGGGUAAUCUAACAUUGAAAGGAAUUCCGACAAUAAAGGGAAGUUGGUCCAUUGUUGACCCCGCGAUUAUAGUUUUCCAAGUUUUCUAAAGUUUCGCCUGACAAGGAGUAUCUAUUGCAUGGUGAAUCAAGUGGAACGAGUUUCAAGUUUUCUAAAUUUGUCCCAUAUGGUGUAAACGUGUGCAAAAAUAACCGAGGAGAAGAACUUGGAAAUUUUGCUCAACAUAAUCAUGCGCAAGGUCAAACGAGUUUUGGAAGAUUUAAUAUGGAAUAUGUCUAGUUGGAUGAGCUUGACUUAUUGUAAUUAUUUGGUUUUAUAAAUAAGACUCGAACUGUGUAAUUUGCCUGGUCCAUAUCAAUUUUAGGUGUUUGAUAAUGUCAUGACCAUUAUAUACUGUGAUUUUAGUUGGAAAAAGUUUUGAUAUCA